GGCAGUGUUGCCUAGUGGCUCAAGCACUUGAGUGUGACUCAGAAGACCUGGGAUCUAGUCCUAGCUCUGCCA
rnacentral:tRNA from 1 species